AUGGGCGAAAGCCUGAUGCAGCGACGCCGCGUGAGGGAAGACGGUCUUCGGAUUGUAAACCUCUGUCUUUGGGGACGAUAAUGACGGUACCCAAGGAGGAAGCCACGGCUAACUACGUGCCAGCAGCCGCGGUAAUACGUAGGUGGCGAGCGUUGUCCGGAAUUACUGGGUGUAAAGGGAGCGUAGGCGGGAAUGCAAGUUGAAUGUCAAAUCUAUCGGCUCAACCGAUAGCCGCGUUCAAAACUGCAUUUCUUGAGUGAAGUAGAGGUUGGCGGAAUUCCUAGUGUAGCGGUGAAAUGCGUAGAUAUUAGGAGGAACACCAGUGGCGAAGGCGGCCAACUGGGCUUUAACUGACGCUGAGGCUCGAAAGCGUGGGGAGCAAACAGGAUUAGAUACCCUGGUAGUCCACGCUGUAAACGAUGAUCACUAGGUGUGGGGGGUCUGACCCCUUCCGUGCCGCAGCUAACGCAAUAAGUGAUCCACCUGGGGAGUA
rnacentral:rRNA from 1 species